rnacentral:rRNA from 1 species
UACGAAGGGGGCUAGCGUUGCUCGGAAUCACUGGGCGUAAAGGGCGCGUAGGCGGCCUCUUACGUCGGGGGUGAAAGCCCAGGGCUCAACCCUGGAAUUGCCUUCGAUACUGAGAGUCUUGAGUUCGGAAGAGGUUGGUGGAACUGCGAGUGUAGAGGUGAAAUUCGUAGAUAUUCGCAAGAACACCAGUGGCGAAGGCGGCCAACUGGUCCGAUACUGACGCUGAGGCGCGAAAGCGUGGGGAGCAAACAGG